AUUGAACGCUGGCGGCAGGCCUAACACAUGCAAGCCGAGCGGAUGAGAGGAGCUUGCUCCUUGAUUCAGCGGCGGACGGGUGAGUAAUGCCUAGGAAUCUGCCUGGUAGUGGGGGAUAACGUUCCGAAAGGAACGCUAAUACCGCAUACGUCCUACGGGAGAAAGCAGGGGACCUUCGGGCCUUGCGCUGUCAGAUGAGCCUAGGUCGGAUUAGCUAGUUGGUGAGGUAAGGGCUCACCAAGGCGACGAUCCGUAACUGGUCUGAGAGGAUGAUCAGUCACACUGGAACUGAGACACGGUCCAGACUCCUACGGGAGGCAGCAGUGGGGAAUAUUGGACAAUGGGCGAAAGCCUGAUCCAGCCAUGCCGCGUGUGUGAAGAAGGUCUUCGGAUUGUAAAGCACUUUAAGUUGGGAGGAAGGGCAGUAAGUUAAUACCUUGCUGUUUUGACGUUACCAACAGAAUAAGCACCGGCUAACUUCGUGCCAGCCGCCGCAGUAAAAC
rnacentral:rRNA from 1 species